rnacentral:rRNA from 1 species
GACGAAGGUAGCAAGCGUUGUUCGGAAUCACUGGGCAUAAAGGGCGCGCAGGCGGCGCUGUAUGUCGGGUGUGAAAUCCCCUGGCUCAACCAGGGAACUGCGCCCGAAACUGCGGUGCUAGAGUGCAGAAAGGGAGAGCGGAAUUCCUGGUGGAGCGGUGAAAUGCUUAGAUAUCAGGAGGAACACCGGUGGCGAAGGCGGCUCUCUGGUCUGCUACUGACGCUGAGGCGCGAAAGCCAGGGGAGCGAACGGGAUUAGAUACCCCCGUA